rnacentral:rRNA from 1 species
GGGGAAUAUUGGACAAUGGGCGAAAGCCUGAUCCAGCCAUGCCGCGUGUGUGAAGAAGGUCUUCGGAUUGUAAAGCACUUUAAGUUGGGAGGAAGGGCAGUAAAUUAAUACUUUGCUGUUUUGACGUUACCGACAGAAUAAGCACCGGCUAACUCUGUGCCAGCAGCCGCGGUAAUACAGAGGGUGCAAGCGUUAAUCGGAAUUACUGGGCGUAAAGCGCGCGUAGGUGGUUCGUUAAGUUGGAUGUGAAAUCCCCGGGCUCAACCUGGGAACUGCAUUCAAAACUGACGAGCUAGAGUAUGGUAGAGGGUGGUGGAAUUUCCUGUGUAGCGGUGAAAUGCGUAGAUAUAGGAAGGAACACCAGUGGCGAAGGCGACCACCUGGACUGAUACUGACACUGAGGUGCGAAAGCGUGGGGAGCAAAAGCAGGAUUAGA